CUUUAACUCCGGUUGAUUCUGCCGGAGGUCACUGCUAUUGGGAUUCGGCUAAGCCAUGCAAGCGGAGGGCGCGGUCGAAAGAUCGUGGCCCCGCACACUGCUCAGUAACACGUAGUCAACCUACCCUUGGGACGGGGACAACCUCGGGAAACUGAGGCUAAUACCCGAUAGGUGAGGGACGCUGGGAUGCCUCCUCGCCCAAAGCUCCGGCGCCCAAGGAUGGGACUGCGGUCUAUCAGGCUGUUGGUGGUGUAACGGACCACCAAACCUACGACGGGUACGGGCGAUGGGAGUCGGAGCCCGGAGAUG
rnacentral:rRNA from 1 species